GUUAAGAAUGUAGUGAUUAGUCUAACAGCAGAUAUGGCAGUUGAAGAAAGAACUAAAACGGAGAGGUCCUAUAUAAUCUAAUUGCCAGUCAGCUACAGUGAGAACAUCCCUGUAAAUGUGUCCUGCUUGAUAUGGUCUAUACCAUGGACACAAUUGAGAACAAGGAACCACUCACCAAAAAAAAAAAAAAAGAAAGAAAGAAAACAUCCUCAGAUCCUUUGAAAGAAGUGACAUGCCACAGCAAACUCUGUGAAACAGGUGAAAAACUGAAAGUACAACAAUUGGGAUUACAGUGCAACUUUUUAUAUAAUAGAAAGUAGAUGUUUUCCAGGAGAAAGUUGAGACUUUUACAUAGACAAACCCGUGACAGGGUAGAAGGAGGAGCCACUCCAGUUGGUUGGCAGUAUGUGCUUAUGAAUAACUCGGGUCUGCAGACCAAGCUGAGGUGAAGAAGAUAUUAUAUGAUCCAUCAAGGAAUACAAAUUAAAGAAAGAGACCCUCUAUAACAAAUUGACAAGACAAGGAGUGCACACAUGACAGAUUUGGAGGGUGCCUACAAAGCUUGGCCACUUUCUUUUGCAUAAUUUUUUUAAUGGAUCCGUAACUACAGGACCUCAGGACCUACGUGGAUUGGAUUGAGAAUGAAACAAGACUGCAUAUAUUGACAAAAUCAAAGUAAGCUGCAUAUAUUUAAUGAAAAACAUGUUUGUAAAAUGGUAUACCUCCAAAACAAAAGGUAUGUUAAACUUAUACAAAGAGAUGUUUAAUUACCAAAUGGUGCACUUCCAAAUCAAAGAGUCCAAAUGAAUUUUUUAAAAAACUAGGCCUUGAUUUGUGUUUCUCUAAUGACCAGUGAUGAUGAGCAUUUUUCAUAUGUCUUUUGGCCACAUAAAUGUCUUCUCUUGAGAAUUGUCUGUUCAUAUCCUUUGCCCACUUUUUGAUGGGGUUGUUUAUUUUUUUCUUGCAAAUUUGUUUAAAUUCCAUGUAGCUUCUGGAUAUUCACCCUUAGAUAGAUAGAUUGCAAAAACUUUCCCCCAUUCUCUAGGUUGCCUCUUCACUCUGAUGAUAGCUUCUUUUGCUGGACAGAACUCUUUAGUUUAAUUAGAUCCCAUUUGUCAAUUUUGGCUUUUGUUGCCAUUGCUUUUGGUGUUUUAGUCAUGAAGUCUUUGCCCAUGCCUAUGUCCUGAAUGGUAUUGCCUAGGUUUUCUUCUAGGGUUUUUAUGGUUUUAGGUCUUAUAUUUAAAUCUUUAAUCCAUCUUGAGUUAAUUUUUGUAUAAGGUGUAAGGAAGGGAUCCAGUUUCAGUUUUCUGCAUAUGGCUAGCCAGUUUUCCCAACACCAUUUACUAAGAUAUUAUGUCACACCAGUUAGAAUGGUGAUCAUUAAAAAGUCAGGAAACAACAGAUGCUGGAGAGGAUGUGGAGAAACAGGAAUGCUUUUACACUGUUGGUAGGAGUGUAAAUUAGUUCAACAAUUGUGGAAGACAGUGUGGCAAUUCCUCAAGGAUCUAAAACCAGAAAUACCAUUUGACACAGCAAUCCCAUUACUGGUAUAUACCCAAAGGAUUAUAAAUCAUUCUACUAUAAAGACACAUGCACAUGUAUGUUUAUUGUGGCACUAUUCACAAUAGCAAAGACAUGGAACCAACCCAAAUGCCCAUCAGUGAUAGACUGGAUAAAGAAAAUGUGGCACAUAUAUACCAUGGAAUACUAUGCAGCCAUAAAAAAGGAUGACUUCAUGUCCUUUGCAGGGACAGGGAUGAAGCUGGAAACCAUCAUUCCCAGCAAACUAACACAGGAACAGAAAACCGAACACCACAUGUUCUCACUCAUAAGUGGGAAUUGAACAAUAAGAACACAUGGACACAGGGAGGAGACCAUCACACACAGGGGGCCUGCCGGGGGGUCGGGGGCUAGGGGAGGGAUAGCAUUAGGAGAAAUACCUAAUGUAGAUGACAGGUUGAUGAGUGCAGCAAACCAUCAUGGCACGUUUAUACCUUUGUAACAAAGCUGCAUAUUCUGCACAUGUAUCCUAGAACUUCAAGUAUAAUGAUAAUAAUAAAAAAAAACUAGGCC